rnacentral:sRNA from 1 species
ACGGAAAAGGUACUGAAAAUAAAACAGUUAAAUUAGAAGUGAAAGUACCUGAAGGUGUCGACAAUGAACAACAAAUUAGAUUAGCUG